rnacentral:rRNA from 1 species
UACGUAGGGUGCAAGCGUUGUCCGGAAUUAUUGGGCGUAAAGGGUUCGUAGGCGGAACCGUAAGUCAAGUGUGAAAUCCCCGAGCUUAACUUGGGACGUGCACCUGAAACUGCGAUUCUUGAAUAUUGGAGAGGAUAGUGGAAUUGCUGGUGUAGGAGUGACAUCCGUGGAGAUCAGCAGGAACACCAGAGGCGAAAGCGACUAUCUGGCCGAUUAUUGACGCUGAGGAACGAAAGCGUGGGGAGCAAACAGG